rnacentral:misc_RNA from 1 species
GCAUGGGCCUAGUGGAGCAAAACUUUCCAUUCAUCUCAGUCAUAGCUCGUAACUGCUCACUCUCAUCCCCAAAUCUAACAAACCCAUAACCCUUUGUGUGCCCGGUUGCCCUAUCUGUUACAACCUUAGCACCCUUGAUUGAAGGAUAAUUGGGUCUGAAUGUCUCCUGAAGCAUGUAAUCUGUGACAUCAGCUGCCAAGUCUCCA